rnacentral:rRNA from 1 species
UACGAAGGGGGGCUAGCGUUGCUCGGAAUGACUGGGCGUAAAGGGCGCGUAGGCGGGUCGGUAAGUCAGGGGUGAAAUCCCACGGCCCAACCGUGGAAGUGCCUCUGAUACUGCCGGCCUCGAGGGGGAUAGGGGCGUGCGGAACUCAGGGUGGAGCGGUGAAAUGCGUAGAUAUCCUGAGGAACACCGAUGGCGAAGGCAAUCCCCUGGGCCUGCACUCGACGCUCAUGCACGAAAGCGUGGGGAGCAAACAGG